ensembl:snRNA U6 U6 spliceosomal RNA
UCGCUUUGGCAGCCCAUGUACUAAAACUGGAACCAUACAGAGAUUAGCACGGCCCUGAGCAGAGAUGACACACAGAUUCGUGGAGCUCUCCAUAUUUAA